UAAUACGGAGGGUGCAAGCGUUAUCCGGAUUUAUUAGGUUUAAAGGGUCCGCAGGCGGAACUUUAAGUCAGUGGUGAAAGCCUACAGCUUAACUGUAGAACUGCCAUUGAUACUGAAGUUCUUGAGUGUGGUUGAAGUGGGCGGAAUAUGUCAUGUAGCGGUGAAAUGCAUAGAUAUGACAUGGAACACCAAUUGCGAAGGCAGCUCACUAAACCAUUACUGACGCUCAUGGACGAAAGCGUGGGGAGCAAACAGGAUUAGAUACCCUGGUAGUCCACGCCGUAAACUAUGAUCACUAGAUGUUGGCGAUAUAAUGUCAGCGUUUUAGAGAAAUCGUUAAGUGAUCCACCUGGGGAGUACGUUCGCAAGAAUG
rnacentral:rRNA from 1 species